CUACAAUUGCUUAAACCUACUACACUACACUGCUACAAUCACUUAAACCUACUACACUGCUACAAUCGCUAUAGCUCAUGGAGAUCGAUGAUCUGGUACUAAGAUCUACCAGUGGUGCCGUGGAGAUCGACGCCGUGGAGUGUUCUUCCAAGGAUUUUCUUUUGUUCAUCAUCAGUAAGGUCUUUUUUCUCCCGCAAACAUUUAGGUGUCGUUUGGUUAGCGUUAAAGAAAUACAGUGUUUGAUUGGUCACAUAAGAACAAAUAAUUACCACAUAGCCUCAAUUUACAGUGUCGUUUGGUUGGUCGUAGAUAUUCGGACAAACAUAUCUGUGAUUUGUAUCCUUGAAUCGGACCGACUGUAGUGAGCUGUGGCGUGGUGAGCUUCAGACGACUGUAGAAUUGCAAUUUGUGUUGGAAAGUAAGAUCGAAUUUCAGCUCUCAAUUUGUGUUGGAAAGUCCGACCGAAUUUGCUCAUCAACUUCUCUAACAUUUGCACUUCAAUUGCAUCAAUUUGGGGUUUUUAAGGUUAGAGUGUUCUUCUACGACUUUGACCUAAUUUUUGGGGAUUUUGGAUUUUUCUUCUCCUUAGAGAACAUUUGAUUACUAGGUUCAUUUGAUUGCGUGAACAUUUUUGAUUUCUCCUUGAUUUAUUUUUUGAUUUUUAUGGGUUUAGCUUCUUUCAUUGUUUCUCUGUUAUCCUUGAAUCCGACGCAAAAAUGUUCUAAGAUAGGUGAGGUUAAGGAUGAGCAGACAUGGCUAGUAGAUGGUGAGGUUUUAACUAUUGAAGUAGGACAGGCUCUCAUAGGAAGGUGAAGUUAUACAUAGGGGAAAUAUUCGAAGGAAAUACCGAAUUUCUGGUGUCUGAAAGAAGACCAGAUCCUUCUUCAUUGAUUUGUGCAUAGUUGGGUCUUGAGUUGACUGUAUUGACCAGCAGAUCUGGAUGAAGCAUUGGAAGCAAAAUUCAAUAGCUUAUUGGAUGACAUGGUACUGUUGGUUGCUCAAAAAGGGAAGCAUGCGAUGAGGAUAUCCCUGGAGGAUGGUUUAGAAUAUGCCCUUAAGAAAUGCCGCAAGUCCCGUUUUGUGAGAAAUCAUAUAGGUAAUGAACCACAAAAACUAUCACUGACAGCAAUCGAAUCCAUGACACUUUCUGAUGGUGGAGUUCCUCAACAUCAUGAUUCUAAGGUAGAGAUCUUGUUGCCAUUUUGCCAACCUGGAGUAUAGUUGUACUGAAUUGCUUAAAGAAGUCUCUCUUCCAUAUUGGAAUCAGGAUGAUGCAUAUGGAGGUUUUGGUGGAGCUCAUUGUAUGAUUAAAGGCGGCUACAACUUCAUUGCUGAAUCACUAAGUGAGGAACUUUGCAUUCACUUGAACCACAUUGUUACUGAUAUUUCAUAUUGCAAAGAAGACGUUCCAACAAAAAAUGAUUUAUUUAAGAAGGUAAAAGUUUCGACAUCGAAUGGACGAGAGUUUUCUGGAGAUGCAGUCCUUAUUACAGUUCCAUUAGGGUAUCUCAAGGCAGAAGCCAUUAAAUUUUAACCACCUUUAGCCCACUGGAAAGAUUUAUCUAUCCAAUGGCUCGGUUUUGGCAUUCUUAAUAAGUCAUCUUGGAGUUUCCUAAAGUAUUUUGGGAUGAUUCUAUUGACUACUUUGGUGCGACUGCAGAAGAAAUAGACGAGAGGGGCAGAUGCUUUAUGUUCUGGAAUGUCAAGAAAAUUAUUGGGGCACCUGUUCUUAUAGCGUUAGUGUUCGGAAAAGCUGCUAUAAAUGGCCAGGAAAUGAGCUCCUCCGACAAUGUAAAGCAUUCAUUACUGGUUCUGCACAAGCUUUAUGGUGAGAACAAGGUACCUGAUCCAGUUGCUUCGGGGGUCACCAACUGGGGAAAAGAUCCUUAUAGCUACGGGGCUUACUCUUAUGUGGCUGUUGGAUCAUCAGGAGAAGAUUGUGACAUAUUGGGCAGGCCUGUGGAGAACUGUUUAUUUUUUGCGGGUGAAGCUACCUGCAAAGAGCACCCUGACACUGUUGGUGGUGAUAUGAUGAGUAGGUUAUGGGAAGCUGUCCGCAUAAUUGAUAUAUUGACUACAAACACUGAUUACACUGCAAAAGCAUAGGCAAUGGAGGAUGCAAAGAGGCAUUCAGAUGCUGAAAGGAGUGAAAUAAGGGAUAUUAUGAAGAGACUUGAAGCAGUAGAGCUCUCAAGUGUUUUGUGUAAGAACUCUUUGGAUGGGGCGAAGAUCGUGACCCUAGAGAAUCUGCUAAGGGAUAUGUUCUGUAAUACCAAUACAACAGCAGGAACAUUGCAUCUCACAAAAAGAGUUGUUGAAACUUCUGGUAGAAGUUUUGAGAUCCUUUGUUGGAACUAAAGAAGGGCUUAGCACACUUAAUUUGUGGAUGCUGGACUCCACGAACAAGGAUAGGACACAACUCUUGCGUCAUUGCGUUCGUGUACUAGUACUUGUUUCAACCGAUUUGGUUGCAGUCUAACUGUCAGGUACAUACCACUUUGAGAGAAGGAACUAUCCCCCCACUCCCUUAUUUUAUUCAGGCAUCGGGAAAACUAUUAAAGAAAAAGUCUGUGUGCAUACUAGCCGUGAAGUACGUGCCAUAGCAAGUCAGAUUGUCAAUGUAUGGAUAGAACUUUUCAAAAGGAGAUGGCUGCUAAUGGUGGUCUGAAAUUACUAAGACAAUCCACUGUCACUGAUACUUCGAAGAGCAAACACAUGGAAGGACCUGGGAAACCACCGAUUCGCAGUCCUCCUUCAGCAGUAGACAGUAAACGGGGUUCUAAAGUUUCUGGAAAUCAGAAGCUGAAUGACAUGCCUGCUACGUUAGAAACAUUCCAGAUGUUGAACCAUCGACCUCCCAAGCUUCAGUAGGAAGGUAAAAUUUUCCCAUGUCUGAGUAAGAGAAGGGCGCGUUUGCCGCUGCAGAAGCAACUUGUGUUGCUGCUCUAGCACCUGCUGAGGUACUUUGAAGAAAAUUUGUGAGACAGAUUUGGGGCUGAUUUCUCAGUGUUGCCUGACAAAGCAUGUAUUAUAAAUUAGCAAGCAAUAUCUGUCAAAUGUAUCACUGAAAAUAAAUGUAAAGAUGGGAGAAAGAAACACGGUAUUUUUAGAUGCUUUGAGAUGGAAAAUCCCUCUCAUUAGUGAUAUUCCAACGAUUAUAUUUGGUGCUGAUGUGACUCAUUCAGAAUCAGGAGAGGACUGUAGCCCAUCGAUUGCUGUUGUUGCAUCACAAUAUUGGCUAGAAGUUACUAAAUAUGCCGGUUUAGUAUGUGCUCAGCCUCAUAGAAAAGAACUCAUUCAGGAUCUUUACCGGACCUAGCAAGAUCCUCAACGAGGAACAAUGUCGGGAGGUAUGAUUAGGUUCAUAUUUAUUGAAUUCUCGUUACUGUAACAUUUUAUUUUCGACAAAUAUGUACUGACAUUUGUUUUACUCCCUUUCUCAGACAACUUCUAUUGGCAUUCAAGAAAGCCACAGGAUAGAAACCACUGAGAAUAAUAUUCUACCGGCAUGGUGUAAGUGAUGGCCAGUUUUAUCAGGUCCUACUUUAUGAACUCGAUGCAAUUCGUAAGGUGUCCUAAAUUAAGAAAGAGAUGAAGAAAGUGACAAAGACAUUGACCUUACUUGAGAAGAUUUUGGGGUUGUGGAUAAAUUCUCUAAUAUCAAUAGUUUUGUGUUGAAUUUCUUGAAAUUUAUCGCGACUCGAACUUGCUAGUAUGUAAAAACUUAACUAAUCAUUUGGACUUAAUUACAUUUUGCUUUUGGGUUUAAA